GGGGAGAUGGCCGAGUGGUCUAAGGCAUCACGACAUGACUGUGAAUCUCCGGAAACGUGGGUUCGAAUCCCACUCUCCCGA
rfam:Allomyces macrogynus ATCC 38327 genomic scaffold supercont3.37, whole genome shotgun sequence.